GAAUGGCGGGCGGCUAUAAUGCAAGUCGAGCGGACAGAUGGGAGCUUGCUCCCUGAUGUUAGCGGCGGACGGGUGAGUAACACGUGGGUAACCUGCCUGUAAGACUGGGAUAACUCCGGGAAACCGGGGCUAAUACCGGAUGGUUGUUUGAACCGCAUGGUUCAGACAUAAAAGGUGGCUUCGGCUACCACUUACAGAUGGACCCGCGGCGCAUUAGCUAGUUGGUGAGGUAACGGCUCACCAAGGCGACGAUGCGUAGCCGACCUGAGAGGGUGAUCGGCCACACUGGGACUGAGACACGGCCCAGACUCCUACGGGAGGCAGCAGUAGGGAAUCUUCCGCAAUGGACGAAAGUCUGACGGAGCAACGCCGCGUGAGUGAUGAAGGUUUUCGGAUCGUAAAGCUCUGUUGUUAGGGAAGAACAAGUGCCGUUCAAAUAGGGCGGCACCUUGACGGUACCUAACCAGAAAGCCACGGCUAACUACGUGCCAGCAGCCGCGGUAAUACGUAGGUGGCAAGCGUUGUCCGGAAUUAUUGGGCGUAAAGGGCUCGCAGGCGGUUUCUUAAGUCUGAUGUGAAAGCCCCCGGCUCAACCGGGGAGGGUCAUUGGAAACUGGGGAACUUGAGUGCAGAAGAGGAGAGUGGAAUUCCACGUGUAGCGGUGAAAUGCGUAGAGAUGUGGAGGAACACCAGUGGCGAAGGCGACUCUCUGGUCUGUAACUGACGCUGAGGAGCGAAAGCGUGGGGAGCGAACAGGAUUAGAUACCCUGGUAGUCCACGCCGUAAACGAUGAGUGCUAAGUGUUAGGGGGUUUCCGCCCCUUAGUGCUGCAGCUAACGCAUUAAGCACUCCGCCUGGGGAGUACGGUCGCAAGACUGAAACUCAAAGGAAUUGACGGGGGCCCGCACAAGCGGUGGAGCAUGUGGUUUAAUUCGAAGCAACGCGAAGAACCUUACCAGGUCUUGACAUCCUCUGACAAUCCUAGAGAUAGGACGUCCCCUUCGGGGCAGAGUGACAGGUGGUGCAUGGUUGUCGUCAGCUC
rnacentral:rRNA from 1 species